rnacentral:rRNA from 1 species
GCUGCCGCCACGGAGACGACGACUGCCGGCGGCGGAGUGAUGUCCAUCACGACGCACUGCGAAUACCCUGCCAUCGCCAAGGACGCCAGCCGCGACGGCUUCGCGGUGCUCGUGCACGCCAAGGCUCCCGCGCUGGCUCCGGCCGCGGCGAAGGCGGCGCGCGCGCCCCUUGAUCUCGUGAUGGUGCUCGACGUCAGCGGGAGCAUGGGCGGCCGCAAGCUGGCGCUGCUUAAGCAGGCCGUGGGCUUCGUCGUCGACAAGCUCGGCCCCCACGACCGCCUCAGCCUCGUGUCCUUCUCGUGCGACGCCCGCCGCCUCACCCGCCUCACGCGCAUGUCCGACGCCGGGCGGGCCUCGACCGAGCGCACCGUGGAGUCCCUGGCCGCGGGUGGCGGGACCAACAUCAAGGAGGGCCUUCGCGAGGCGGCCAAGGUGAUCGACGGCCGCCGCUACAGGAACGCCGUCACCGGCGUCAUCCUGCUCUCCGACGACCAAGACAACUACACGCUGUCUUCAAGGUUUUACAAUCAAGACCUCGUGCCACCUUCCCUGAUCCGCACGGGCGACGGGUCCUCACCGCCGAUCCACACGUUCGGCUUUGGGACCGACCACGACUCGGCGGCCAUGCACACCAUCGCGGAGGCCACCGGCGGCACGUUCGCCUUCAUCGAGAACGAGGCCGUCAUCCAGGACUCGUUCGCGCAGUGCAUCGGCGGGCUUCUCUCGGUCGCCGCGCAGGAGGCGCGCGUCGCCGUCGAGUGCGUCUCCCCUGGCGUUCGCGUGCGGUCCAUCAAGUCGGGGCGCUACAAGAGCCGCGUCGACGCUAACGGGCGCACCGCCGCGGUGGAGGUCGGCGAGCUGUAUGCCGACGAGGAAAGGCGCUUCCUGCUGUUCGUGGACGUGCCGAAGGCCGGCGCCACGGACGACGUGGCAUCGCUGAUGAAGGUGAGCUGCACAUACCGCGACGUCGCGACCGGGCAGUCGGUGGACGUGGCAGGCGAGGAGGUGGCGGUGAAGAGGCCGGUCGAGGCGCCGGAGGCAGAGCCGGACGUGGAGGUCGAGCGGGAGCGCCUCCGCGUGCAGGCCGCCGAGGACAUCGCGGCGGCGCGGGCGGCGGCCGAGCGCGGCGAGCACGCGGAGGCGUCGGAGAUGCUCAGCCGCCGGCGCAUGGCGCUGAGGCAGUCGCCGCUGGGCGCGAGCGGCGACGCCGGGUGCGCGGAGCUGGCGGCGGAGCUGGGCGAGCUGAGCGAGCGCGUGGGGGACCGGAGGGAGUACGACCUGUCGGGGCGCGCGUCGUUGCUGUGCGGCAUGAGCGCGCACUCGCAGCAGCGCACGUCGGUCAAAGUUGGGAGGGCGAGGUACGCGACUCCCGCCAUGCGUAAGAUGGUGGACCUGUCGGUGAAGACUCGUGAGCAGCAGCAGCAGCAGCAACAGGCACAGGCACAGCCAUCUCCGCCCUCGAGGACGACGAUGCCACCGCCGCCACCACCUUCGACGGCGAAGCCGGCUCUCGCUAAGAACCUGGUGAGAAGGUACACCGAUUUCUACGUCUCAAGUGAGCACGGGGCGAUCAACUGA